UAGGGGUGAGCAUGGUCCGGGUUGGUCCGGGCCACCCCCUAACCCUAGGACCAACCCGUACAGUGUCGGUCCUCAAUUUUUAGGACCGAGGACCGACCCUAUUGAGUCUGGGACCAAGGACCGGACCAACCUAAUGGGUUCGGUCCGGUUCCAGGGUCAACCCGGGACCGAUCGAUAAUUUUUUUCGUCUUAUUUUUUAUACUUCCUAAAAAAACAAACCUACAAAUUCAAAUUACACAUCCAUCGACAAUACGACAUUGUGCAAUUAAACUAUAAAUACCAAUACAUAUUUAGCAAAUCUAAGAUGACACAAUAAUAAAAAUUUCGUAUCUACUAACCGCUCAUCAAGAUAUGGGACAAGAUGGAAAGUUCUUGUAAUAAUCUAUCUUUAAUAUUCAUAACACCAUAUGCAAAAGCGUUUUCCUGCAUUCGAUCACGUAGGGUUCACUCAACCAAAAAAUGAGCUUCACACCACUUGACUAGCAAAUCACUGUAUUCACUGCAGUACUACUCUACUCUUCAAAAACUUCUAUCAUUUGACACAAAUUGAAAAGCAAAGUGCAAUUCAUUAGUACAAUUAAACCAUAAAAAGUCAAAAUACUUAAUAUAAACCAUGAAUAUAUAACUUCACAUCUUGUUAAUUCACUUGAUCUUCUAAACACCUGAAAACAAAACAAACUACAUAUAAUUAAUACUCAACAAAAGUUUUAAAUUGAAAUUACUAUUAGUGUUAUUAAUAGAACAUCUCAAUAUAAUAUAAUAUAAUAGACAUUUUACUUAGGUUUGAAUAUAUAAAAAAAUUAUAAAUAAUAUAAUAUAAUACAAUAUAAUAUAAUAUACAGGGUUGGUCCAGGGUUGGACCGACCCAAAACUCUUAGGACCGAGGACCAACCCGUACAGUGUUGGUCCUG
rnacentral:lncRNA from 1 species